UGGGUUCGGCCGCCGACUCCGCCGAUCUUCCCACUAGGUCUAAGCUGGCACAGAUAGAUAGAUAGAGAGAUAGAUAGAUAUUGAACUGCAACUAUGAUCUAUUGUGCCAUCAAAUGCAAGCAAUGCAUGAAAUGUCAACUAGCAAUAAGCCUACUAUCAUGAUAAUAUGCUUCAACGAUGUAAUGAAUACAAAUACGACACAGUUAUGCAAUCCACUAACAUAUACUAUGUCUAAUCAGGGUAUGAAUGCAAAUCCACUUAUGCUAUUCAUGUCAUUACCCAAUCCACUAGGCUACCCCGCCUAAGAUCUCGACCACAUGGGUGAAGGACUACCCCGCCCUUGUCUCACCUGUCUCACAACUCUAACACUAUAGGUAAAGAGCUACCCCGCUCUUACCCGAUUCAGAUCUCAAGUCCUAUAGGUGAAGAGCUACCCCGCUCCUCGCCCAACUCAUGACUCAAAUGCCUAAGGGCAAGAGCUACCCCGCUCUUCGCCCCGACUCUAACUCAAACUCAUAGGUCAAGAGCUACCCCGCUCAUAGGUCAAGAGCUACCCCGCUCCCAACUAAAGAGCUACCAAACUCCUAGGUAAAGAGCUACCCCGCUCAUAGGUAAAGAGCUACCCCGCUCAUAGGUAAAGAGCUACCCCGCUCGUAGGUAAAGAGCUACCCCGCUCAUAGGUAAAGAGCUACCCCGCUCAAAUCUCACAGGAGAAGAGCUACCCCGCCCUUCGCCCCACUCACUUCCCA
rnacentral:lncRNA from 1 species